GACGAACGCUGGCGGCGUGCCUAACACAUGCAAGUCGAACGGAGUUAUUCCUUCGGGGAUAACUUAGUGGCGAACGGGUGAGUAACGCGUGAGAAACCUGCCUCUCAGUGGGGGACAACAGUUGGAAACGACUGCUAAUACCGCAUAACACUUUAGUACCGCAUGGUACAGAAGUCAAAGCUUUAUGUGCUGAGAGAUGGUCUCGCGUCUGAUUAGCUAGUUGGUGAGGUAACGGCCCACCAAGGCGACGAUCAGUAGCCGACCUGAGAGGGUGACCGGCCACAUUGGGACUGAGACACGGCCCAAACUCCUACGGGAGGCAGCAGUGGGGAAUAUUGCACAAUGGGGGAAACCCUGAUGCAGCGACGCCGCGUGAGUGAAGAAGUAUUUCGGUAUGUAAAGCUCUAUCAGCAGGGAAGAAAGUGACAGUACCUGACUAAGAAGCCCCGGCUAACUACGUG
rnacentral:rRNA from 1 species